rnacentral:rRNA from 1 species
UACGUAGGGAGCAAGCGUUGUUCGGAUUUACUGGGCGUAAAGGGCGCGUAGGCGGCAAUUCAAGUCAUCUGUGAAAUCUCCGGGCUUAACUCGGAACUGUCAGAUGAUACUGCUUUGCUAGAGUGCAGAAGGGGCAAUCGGAAUUCUUGGUGUAGCGGUGAAAUGCGUAGAUAUCAAGAGGAACACCUGAGGUGAAGACGGGUUGCUGGGCUGACACUGACGCUGAAGCGCGAAAGCUAGGGGAGCGAACGGG